GGUUCCAUAGUGUAGCGAGCGGUUAGCACAUCUGCUUUACAUGCAGAAGGUCCUGGGUUUGCGUCCCAGUAGAGCCA
rfam:Pteropus alecto contig169878, whole genome shotgun sequence.